GGGUGCUCGCCGAUCGCUGGUGCGGGCAGGUUCUAACGUUGGUCGGGCCGCCAACG
rnacentral:ncRNA from 2 species